rnacentral:rRNA from 1 species
GAUGAACGCUGGCGGCGUGCCUAAUACAUGCAAGUCGAGCGAACAGACGAGGAGCUUGCUCCUCUGACGUUAGCGGCGGACGGGUGAGAAACACGUGGAUAACCUACCUAUAAGACUGGGAUAACUUCGGGAAACCGGAGCUAAUACCGGAUAAUAUAUUGAACCGCAUGGUUCAAUAGUGAAAGACGGUUUUGCUGUCACUUAUAGAUGGAUCCGCGCCGCAUUAGCUAGUUGGUAAGGUAACGGCUUACCAAGGCAACGAUGCGUAGCCGACCUGAGAGGGGGAUAGGCGACACGGGAGCUGAGACACGGUCCAGACGCCUACGGGAGGCAGCAGUAGGGAAUCUUCCGCAAUGGGCGAAAGCCUGACGGAGCAACGCCGCGUGAGUGAUGAAGGUCUUCGGAUCGUAAAACUCUGUUAUUAGGGAAGAACAAAUGUGUAAGUAAAUAUGCACGUCUUGACGGUACCUAAUCAGAAAGCCACGGCUAACUACGUG